AGUGAACGCUGGCGGUAGGCCUAACACAUGCAAGUCGAACGGCAGCACAGUAAGAGCUUGCUCUUACGGGUGGCGAGUGGCGGACGGGUGAGGAAUACAUCGGAAUCUACUUUUUCGUGGGGGAUAACGUAGGGAAACUUACGCUAAUACCGCAUACGACCUACGUGUGAAAGCAGGGGAUCUUCGGACCUUGCGCGAUUGAAUGAGCCGAUGUCGGAUUAGCUAGUUGGCGGGGUAAAGGCCCACCAAGGCGACGAUCCGUAGCUGGUCUGAGAGGAUGAUCAGCCACACUGGAACUGAGACACGGUCCAGACUCCUACGGGAGGCAGCAGUGGGGAAUAUUGGAAAAGGGGCGCAAGCCGGAUCCAGACAUACCGCGUGGGUGUAGAAGGCCUUCGGGUUGUAAAGCCCUUUUGUUGGGAAAGAAAAGCAGCAGGUUAAUACCCCGCUGUUCUGACGGUACCCAAAGAAUAAGCACCGGCUAACUUCGUG
rnacentral:rRNA from 1 species